CCAGACUCCUACGGGAGGCAGCAGUGGGGGAUAUUGCACAAUGGAGGGAACUCUGAUGCAGCGACGCCGCGUGAGGGAAGAAGGUUUUCGGAUUGUAAACCUCUGUCUUCGGUGACGAAACGAGACGGUAGCCGAGGAGGAAGCCACGGCUAACUACGUGCCAGCAGCCGCGGUAAUACGUAGGUGGCAAGCGUUGUCCGGAAUUACUGGGUGUAAAGGGCGUGCAGCCGGGCUGACAAGUCAGAUGUGAAAUCCCGCGGCUCAACCGCGGAACUGCAUUUGAAACUGUCAGUCUUGAGUACCGGAGAGGUCAUCGGAAUUCCUUGUGUAGCGGUGAAAUGCGUAGAUAUAAGGAAGAACACCAGUGGCGAAGGCGGAUGACUGGACGGCAACUGACGGUGAGGCGCGAAAGCGUGGGGAGCAAACAGGAUUAGAUACCCCGGUA
rnacentral:rRNA from 1 species